rnacentral:rRNA from 1 species
UACGGGGGGAGCAAGCGUUGUUCGGAUUUACUGGGCGUAAAGGGCGCGUAGGCGGUCGUGACAAGUCACUUGUGAAAUCUCCGGGCUUAACUCGGAACGGUCAAGUGAUACUGUCGGACUAGAGUACAGAAGGGGGCAACUGGGAAUUCUCGGUGUAGCGGUGAAAUGCGUAGAUAUCGAGAGGAACACCUGCGGCGAAGGCGGGUUGCUGGGCUGAUACUGACGCUGAGGCGCGGAAAGCCAGGGGAGCGAACGGG